UCCAAAACAAAGGGAUGCGUGUGUUC
rnacentral:piRNA from 1 species